GACGAACGCUGGCGGCGUGCUUAACACAUGCAAGUCGAACGCUGAAGCCUAGCUUGCUGGGUGGAUGAGUGGCGAACGGGUGAGUAACACGUGAGUAACCUGCCCUCUUCUUUGGGAUAACGCCCGGAAACGGGUGCUAAUACUGGAUAUUCACUGAUCUUCGCAUGGGGGUUGGUGGAAAGGUUUUUUCUGGUGGGGGAUGGGCUCGCGGCCUAUCAGCUUGUUGGUGGGGUGAUGGCCUACCAAGGCUUUGACGGGUAGCCGGCCUGAGAGGGUGACCGGUCACAUUGGGACUGAGAUACGGCCCAGACUCCUACGGGAGGCAGCAGUGGGGAAUAUUGCACAAUGGGCGAAAGCCUGAUGCAGCGACGCCGCGUGAGGGAUGGAGGCCUUCGGGUUGUAAACCUCUUUCGCUCAUGGUCAAGCCGCAGCUUUGGGUUGUGGUGAGGGUAGUGGGUAAAGAAGCGCCGGCUAACUACGUGCCAGCAGCCGCGGUAAUACGUAGGGCGCGAGCGUUGUCCGGAAUUAUUGGGCGUAAGGGCUUGUAGGCGGUUGGUCGCGUCUGCCGUGAAAUCCUCUGGCUUAACUGGGGGCGUGCGGUGGGUACGGGCUGACUUGAGUGCGGUAGGGGAGACUGGAACUCCUGGUGUAGCGGUGGAAUGCGCAGAUAUCAGGAAGAACACCGGUGGCGAAGGCGGGUCUCUGGGCCGUUACUGACGCUGAGGAGCGAAAGCGUGGGGAGCGAACAGG
rnacentral:rRNA from 1 species